AGUGCCCAAAGAGCUGCCGGCAGACCAGACCAACAUUAACAGCAAGAGCAGGUGGGCAGGCCUCAGCCCUCCUCCCUGCCCCCAAAGCCAGCGACAGCCUCAGCCUAAGCUCCUGACCUGCAAUCACAAUGGUCCGACACAACGCCAGGAGUCUGAGCGAACGCCCACAGCAGGAAAGCCAGGAGCAAGAGCAGGAUCCGAAUGCAGAGGACGGCCAGGUGGAUGGGAGGACGCUCAGAGGCCGCUAUCACUACAGACACAGGCGCUGCUCCCGAAGGCGGCUCUACAGGAUCCACAGAAGGCGGCGCCGCUCAUGCCGGAGACGCCGGAGACGUGCCUGCAGGCACAGGAGGCACCGCAGAGGUUGCAGAAGGAUGAGGAGGAGGAGAAGAUACAGAAGGUGCCGUUAAACCUUCCUGGGCCCAUCACACACCUGGUUGGAAAUCAAGGAAAAGUCACCUGACAAGGAACCACCUCACAUGACCAUAGCAAUUCCUCCAUGCUGGAUGCCCAAACCCUGAGCCCAUAAGUUCUUGAGUAAAAUGAGCAAAAGUCAUCUGCCAAAUAAAGCUUGAGAUAAGAAACUUG